rnacentral:rRNA from 1 species
AGUGAACGCUGGCGGUAGGCCUAACACAUGCAAGUCGAACGGCAGCGCAGUAAGAGCUUGCUCUUACGGGUGGCGAGUGGCGGACGGGUGAGGAAUACAUCGGAAUCUACUUUUUCGUGGGGGAUAACGUAGGGAAACUUACGCUAAUACCGCAUACGACCUACGGGUGAAAGCAGGGGAUCUUCGGACCUUGCGCGAUUGAAUGAGCCGAUGUCGGAUUAGCUAGUUGGCGGGGUAAAGGCCCACCAAGGCGACGAUCCGUAGCUGGUCUGAGAGGAUGAUCAGCCGCACUGGAACUGAGACACGGUCCAGACUCCUACGGGAGGCAGCAGUGGGGAAUAUUGGACAAUGGGCGCAAGCCUGAUCCAGCCAUACCGCGUGGGUGAAGAAGGCCUUCGGGUUGUAAAGCCCUUUUGUUGGGAAAGAAAAGCAGCAGGUUAAUACCCCGCUGUUCUGACGGUACCCAAAGAAUAAGCACCGGCUAACUUCGUG